CGGGUGAGUAACACGUGGGCAAUCUGCCCUGCACUCUGGGACAAGCCCUGGAAACGGGGUCUAAUACCGGAUACUGACCCCCGCAGGCAUCUGCGGGGUUCGAAAGCUCCGGCGGUGCAGGAUGAGCCCGCGGCCUAUCAGCUUGUUGGUGAGGUAAUGGCUCACCAAGGCGACGACGGGUAGCCGGCCUGAGAGGGCGACCGGCCACACUGGGACUGAGACACGUACCAAACUUUAUACGGGAGGCAGCAGUGGGGAAUAUUGCACAAUGGGCGAAAGCCUGAUGCAGCGACGCCGCGUGAGGGAUGACGGCCUUCGGGUUGUAAUCCUCUUUCAGCAGGGAAGAAGCGAAAGUGACGGUACCUGCAGAAGAAGCGCCGGCUAACUACGUGCCAGCAGCCGCGGUAAUACGUAGGGCGCGAGCGUUGUCCGGAAUUAUUGGGCGUAAAGAGCUCGUAGGCGGCUUGUCACGUCGGUUGUGAAAGCCCGGGGCUUAACCCCGGGUCUGCAGUCGAUACGGGCAGGCUAGAGUUCGGUAGGGGAGAUCGGAAUUCCUGGUGUAGCGGUGAAAUGCGCAGAUAUCAGGAGGAACACCGGUGGCGAAGGCGGAUCUCUGGGCCGAUACUGACGCUGAGGAGCGAAAGCGUGGGGAGCGAACAGGAUUAGAUACCCUGGUAGUCCACGCCGUAAACGGUGGGCACUAGGUGUGGCGACAUUCCACGUCGUCCGUGCCGCAGCUAACGCAUUACGUGCCGCGCCUGGGGAGUACGGCCGCAAGCUAAAACUCAAAGGAAUUGACGGGGCCCGCA
rnacentral:rRNA from 1 species